UGUACCAAAAUAAGAAAUGGGGUAAGGUUUAUAGAUACCCCACCAACAAUAAGGGAGAUGCUGACCAAAUCCAGAUUAUUUUAUUUCAUUACUUAGAGCAAUAUAUGCUUAAUUCAAUAUAUAGUGACACGCACAUUUUCAAACACCCGUUAAUUUACUUAAGCAAAUCAUACAGACCACAUUUGGUAAUGACAUGGAUCUUUUUCUCUGUUUUUUUAAAGCGAUUUUGCUCUAGGACAGUCUAGUUCCUUGUACUUAACGUCUCCGAAACUUUAUUUUACGUCAUGUGCUACAAUGAAACGUAAUAAAAGGUUUACUUCAUUAUAUUCUACAUUUUCGUUCCUACAAUGUCACAAUAAAGGACAAACUUUAGAUUCUUAACAUUUACAGAUGCACAUUGCUGAUAACAGAACUAUUUUCAAGCACGCGAGUGAAACAAAAGCUUUCAGAGAUCGAUUUGAUGCAUAUAAAUCAUCCAAUCCUUAAAAACCUGGUCGAGCGUGCUUGAUUUGUGUGGUGGUGAAAAAUACAUAUGAAACUAUGCAGCCUUAUGAAUAGGAGAAGCCCACGGACAGAAUUAUCUGGGGUUGAAUUGUGUUAACUGGAAGUUGCUGAUUCCUUCAGCUUCACCGUGAGGACUGAGCUCUGAAGCGCAGACUGUGUCCAUUUCCUCUGCAGGUUUCCCCAAACCACAUUUUGCAAGGCUUUUUUUUUUUUUUUUUCGUACUGACUAAACGCAUGUCUUGGAAGCGAUUCGGUUUUUCCAAUUGCCCUUGUGCGAGCCCCGUUCUGGGCUCCUUAACCUUUUCGCCGCUUUGGACUCGAAAAGUAGGUGCAAGGCUUUAUUUCCCGGGGCUGCCCCAGGUCCCUGCUUCGUGGAGCUUUAAGGGAUUGAAAUAACAGAGGAAACUUCAGGACUCCCGGAAAACUCCAAUCCGUAUUAAAUAAAACUCUCAGGGAUUGAUUCAGAUCUUCUAGUGUUAUCUAUUUCGGUUUAGACACAGCCACGGGGUGUCGGAUUAUGCUGGCAGACAUAACGAAAACACCUACCUAUUACCCACCCUCUCCCCUUUAAAUAUAUCUGAUCCUCUUCCAAGAGCGAACCUUACUCACAAAACUUUAUCAGCUGUAUUUGACAGUUAGAAAGAAAAGGAGAGGUUUUUAAUUGAGGUUUCUAACAAUCUCUCUCUGUGUCAGGGAAAUUUUUUUUUCCUUUUAAGAGUUUACAGAGAUUAAAUUUACUUUGUUUAGUGAGUGUCACUAAACUAGCAUUAACUAGAUACGGAGGUGUAAUAGUGACGAAUUUUGCUACUUUAGGCUAUAGUCUCACAAAGCCUGAGCUAAAAAACACUGUUUGGAUACAAGCCAUUUCACUGUAAAAAAAAAAAAUUCCUCCCCUCCCUUCCCCCUCCGAAAUGAGAACUGACGUUUUCUGUUCUCGUUUCAGUUAUAGGUGAAUAAGAGGUGGAUUUCACUCGUUAUACAGAAGCCUCGCUGAUUUCAUACCAAGAAGCGAGACUGAAAUGUAACCACUUCAGGAAACAACGAGCUAUUAAAAGCUAUUAGUAAACAGUGUUGAAUCAAAUAAACAUCGUUGUUCUAAAAGUUAUGGUUUAAGGAAAGAAAGGUCCCGAAUCUCAAUAGAAGGAAAUUGGAGUUGAUGUCCUUGACUGAUUCUGAAGUCUGAUACUUUACUGAAUGUGUCUGGGGUUUUGGGGGGGCGGGGUGUUUUGUUUUUGUUUGCCAAGAAAAUUAUGAGAGUUUGCGAAAAGAUGUAAAGAAAGGAACACUACAAAUUGGUGAUCAGCCAUAGUAAAUCUCUUGUUUAGGAAUCCAUAAAUUUAAGACUAUGAAUGUUGGCGUUUCUGUUUACUCGUACUAACGACAUGAUUAAAAAAUAAUAAACAAAAACACAGAGAGGGUUUCUUUCCAAAAGGCGAAGUUUCGGAGGGUAUUUCAUCUGCACUCUUUUUGUCAUUUUGAAUAUAAAUGGACGUGGAGUCUGACUGAUUUCCUUAGACACGAGUGGGGGUGUAGUGUUAUAUGUAUUGAUCACUGAUCAAACUGCUAACGUGCGUCUUCUCGCUUCUUCAGUGUUCAACUGUGUGUUCAACAUGCAACCUCUUCAACUAUGUCCAACUUCACUUCAAACAAAAUAAACUAUAAUCCUUAAUUAACGACAUCGACAUUUGGUAUAUAGCCCUUGCACAGCUUGUAUUAAAGUGUAUUAAACAAGGGAUACGGAAAACAAUAUGGUAAGAACUUUUUGUUGUGAACUUUACACACUCCCUACGGUAUUAAGAAAGAAAAAACGGUAUGUAUCAUCCAAUACCUCUUACCUACUUAACAUCUAUGAUCUGCUCAGCUAAGUAAUCCGAAGCCCUUCUGAAAAUGCAGUGUCAUUCUUCUAAUUACCUCCUUUCUAAACUUGGAGAAACUUAUAUUUGCUUAAAUAAGCUUUUACUAACAAAUUAGCUAUUAAAAUAAUCUUAAAUUGCAUCUAUUCUGACUGUACAGUACUGAAAACCGCAAGUAGGGAGGCAGUUUUGACAAAGCUAGAUAUGAGACGAGAAACGGACUCCAUGUAACUUUGUAUGCAGUGUUGUAGCCCUGCUGGGUCCCAGGAUAUUACCAAUAAAAGAUAUUACCUCACCCACCUUGUCUCUCCAUCUAACUUUAUUUAUUUGUAAACAUGGGACUAGCAACCACCAAAUAAAGUGCUUACAGAAACUGUGGAAAAGAGCUCCACCCAAAAGAUCCGUUGCUGACGGUAAGAAUUGGAGUGUGUACAAGUUUGCAAGCUGGCUGUUCAGUACUGACUCAGACCAGCAAUGUAGGUCACAACGAGUUUCCUAGUUAUCUAAAUUCGAACAAUUAAGCUUUUCUUUAGAGACUUCUAAAGCGCUGUUGUUACAUUUCUCAGCGCAGUGCUUUUUACUGAAGUUCAACCUGCAUCUGGGCAGUUACACUGAGUUUGUAAGCCAAUGCUUGGAGUCCGCACGCUUGCUUUUUGCUAUUCAAUCGUUUAACCUUCUGCUUGUAUCCUCUGUUCAUUCCCAUCACAAUAAUCCAUUUCAUUUGUCCUAAAAGCGUAUUUUUAAAAAGUUGUUCCAGUGACUCACAAUCCUUUUUUCAUUAAUUUUAAGAAAAGUAUUAAGUGAUAUCCUAACUACUGUUUAUUCAAUUCUGGACUCUUACCAAGAAUAUUUAUUCAUCGUUAACUCAUUAGUUUGACCCUUUAUGACCGUCAUUAAGUGUUCAUAGAAUUAAUCGUACACAUUAUUUAAAGAGCUAUUAAAAACCUGCACCUUCUGAAACGGCUUUUACUCCACACACUGAAGGAACUCAGUCUUCUGACUGACACCGAACAUUGUCUAUUUUCAGACUGGUUUAUUUAAAUUCUCUUGUUGUUUACCAUAGCACGGCAGAGAAAAACACUCAUAGCGCUAGGGAGGAUGAGCAAACUGUCGGAUGUUGCCGAAACGACAGCAGCAGCUGCAGCAGCGAUGAGAUAUUAUUCCCAAGCGCAAAGUUGUAAAGAAUAUAAACCAGGAUCAGGAUACAAGAUAAGAAAAUAACUACAAUAUAUGUAUUUAUUUCACUGUCGUUCAGAGUUCUCUAUUAUCAUAAAACUGAGCAACAGGAUCAAAGCCCCUCCGCCACUUUGCAGUAAGAUGAAUGUGUGCGCGGGGAGGGAUGUGUUCAAAGUGACUAUUGUAUUUUUUGUCAAGAAAAUAAUAAUAGCAAAAGAAUCCGUUGUAAUGUAACAUAAACAACAGAAAAUCAUCCGGCUAGAUACUGCACGACACGAAAGAAAAAAACCUGGAAAUCUCACCUGGUCCACAGUUUCUGUCCAAACGCAGUAUAUCACCCUGCAUGUCCACUGCAAUUUUUUUUUAGAACAAACACAUCACUCGGUUCAUUAGCACAAAAUCGUUUAGCCUCACUUCUCUCCUUCAAAUCCUUUCUAAUGUGCAUCAGUGCAUAUAUAGCCCUGGUGCUAGCAGAAAUGAGUUCUCCUCCUAAACACAGAAGUUUCUCAAUCCUGCAGAAGUUUCAUGAAUGUUUCGUAGAGGCAGCACCAACUUCUUGCGGACUCAAGUAGGAACUUAGAGAGCGCUUAGCAGGUUCAAACAACUUCGGUGCCCGGCCUCCCUUUCCAUCGUUUACGCACAGACUCUCACGCAGAGGGUACCACUGGAACCAUCCCAUCCAAUGGUUCCUAAGACACGGGUGACAAGAAUCCCUCUAAAAGCACAUAUUCUUUCAGCUUGUUAACAACAUAGUUAAGCUCACGGAAAGAUCCUACGUCCCAUGUAACUUCACCCGUGUCAGGUUAUCUUGAGUAGGUCACUCCGCUCACUGGGUCUGCUUAACUAAACUAUUUUAAUCCAAAAGUGGAAAAAUUAAAUGUGUAGCAGAAAGAGAGGGCAGAGCGAUUGGAAAUUGAGUCCCAAAGUGGAAAAAUUAAAUGUGUAGCAGAAAGAGAGGGCAGAGCGAUUGGAAACUGAGAAUGUAAACAACACUUACGACCAAGCCAAUUUAAUUUCGUUUCACUGGAAGGCCCUCUUGCAAUAUUCCUUGUUUACAUUCAGUUCAGAGACGCUGGCUUUAGGCCAGAAAAGUGCAGUUUAAUUUCUUGGAUGGCGAAGGAGUCUUAUAACUUCAAGAUCAGCUUUAAAUGGAAGAUGUAAAUAUUCUCUCAGCAAACACAUUGCCAUUAACCCUUCAGGAAUCUCCCCGACAUACUCUCCUCCCCUCCUAUAUGGUAGGAAUGAAAAGGGAACUGUCACAUAUUCUCGGUGCACCUGCGGAGAGGAGAGCGAGUGAGUGUUCUGAGUCUUAGCAAUGCUGCUUCCCCUUUCCUGCGUACUAAUCUCCUGCGAAUUUGCAAUGGUAGGGUUGUAACAAAUUCACUUUAGAACUCUGUUGUAGUAAAACAGACGAGUAUAUUCAAAUAUAUAAACAUGAGAGGCAAUGGAGAACACAGAUGUGGCAGCAGUGGGCACUGUGGCAUGCACUUGUAAUAGCUUAGUGGGUGACACGCAGGGAAAUCCAUUCCUCUGCAUAUAUAAAGCAUAACCUGGAUGCGAGCUCCAGAGUCCCUGAGAGCGGAGAGAGCAGCUUCUCUCUGCUACUGCUGUGCAUGGAAAGGCAGCAAUAAGCAGGCACUGGGCACGCUGGUGCUCUCCUCAGACACGUGAUUGAAUCUGAUCUCUGGCGCUGCUCAGUGGGGUGGUGGAGGAGGAGGAGGAGAGGAGGAGGUCGCAGUGUUGUGUACUUAAGGUCGCGUGUGUGCAGGGUUUUUCUCCCUCUCUCUCGAAGGAGUAAGUGCCACUGCUCCGCCUUCUCCUUUUCGCAAUGUUGACGCAAUCUAUAAAUAGUGGAACAAAAGGACCAACUUCCUCGCAGCUCUGCUGAAACUGCACAAAAAAGGCAACAGGGGGGUUGUUAUUUUUUUUUCUGGUUAAACACCCGAAUUUAGGGGUAAUCUCGCUAUUGGAAGAUUUUUCUUCGCUUUCUCAUCAUACUGGCAGCGUCCUGCAACUGGCUAUUUUGCUUUACAAUGAGAAGGGUGUUUUUUCUCCUCUGACAGAUCAAUGUUUUCUCCUGAGGCAAAAAAAAAAAGGGCGGAAGAGCCUGUCCUGGAUGCCUGAGGGAGGAAUAAAUGUAGAGCAUAAGAAAAAUUUGUUGAUGAAAUUUGCACAAAGUUGUUUUUCCAGUAUUGAAAGGUUUUGACCUUUCAAUAGAGAGCUGAUUCUGGAGAACAACUUACUUCUGUGAUUGAAAAAUUCUCUUUGGAAAGCUGAUGGAGCAUGAGAAUGAGGAGUAUUGCAUUGAGACAACUGAAUCUGGCACAGUAAGGAUGGAAAUUACAUGGGUUUCUUUCCUUUUCUUACAUACAGCUUCUAACUGUGUGACCAGUGAGCCUUUGAAGUGGAUUCUUCUGAAGGUUACCCUUAAAGUAAAGUUUAUUGAAGCAGUGAAGAUGGCAACAUGGAUUCCAGUGAUGAAGGGAGCUGUAUGCUCUUUCUUCCCCCACUUGUGUUUGCUGAAAUGCAAAUUAUUCUGUUUCCUACCAUCUCCUUCCCCUAUUGUCUUGAAGAUCCUGUUUACUACUUGUACAUAAAUUGAGGUAAACACACAUUCCUUUGUUUAGGAUAGACCUGCUUAACACCUUUAUCAGGCAGGGUUUUGAAACUGCUGAUAACCUCAUAUGGAGGAAUUAAUUACUUUACAUAUAAUGUUGCUACAUACAUUUCACCAUGAUAUUAUUGACCAGUGAGUUAUUAGUUUUUAAAUGAUACCUCAUAAGUCAUAUUUUAUACAAAGAUUAUUACAAUAGUGUGUAGGCUGUGAAUACAUAGGUGCUUUCAGUCACACCCAGACUCCCAGAAUCCUCCUACACCAGCAUCAAUUUCCUGGACACCAACAUCAGUUUCAACCAGGAAACCGUACUAUAUACAAGAAACCCAUGGACAAUGCUUUCCUUCACAGAUGCAGUAACCAUCCCAAACACACCAA